CGAAGAAGAGAGUUCUGGAACUAACCUAGACUGGUCCAAGAAGUGCAGAGAUGCAGAGAAGGGGAUCGACUCGAAGAACGCCUAAGGCUGAAGGGGAUGGAGCUCUCGGGGAAGAAGAAGAAGGGCACCAACAGGAGGCAAAGUGAAAUUCCUGAAAGGGGGGAGCGGGUUUAAAUAGGCAACAGGGCCCGAUGCAGUAAUGAUUGCGGAUAUCCUCUGGCCGACCUACACUCGCCGCGUGUCCCACUCACCAUGACAGGCUGCUGAAAAUGGCUGACAGCU
rnacentral:lncRNA from 1 species